AUACAAACUGCAGUGUUUUAUGUAGUUUCAGACAUUUUACUUGUAAAUGUUCCCGACUAUUUAACAGCCAUUUAUAUCAUGUUUAGAUGUUUAGAUUGCAGCCAACAUCUCUUCAGUUUGAUCAGUAUUUGACUUUCAUUAGAAAUGCGUCUUCCCCUUAGUAACAUCUGUUUCUUUACAGCACUUUGUUUGUGCCAAAUGUGAGAAACCUUUCCUUGGUCACCGCCAUUAUGAGAGAAAAGGUUUGGCUUACUGUGAGACGCAUUACAAUCAGCUCUUUGGGGACGUGUGUUAUCACUGCAACCGUGUGAUUGAAGGCGAUGUUGUGUCUGCUCUCAACAAAGCCUGGUGUGUCAGUUGUUUCUCCUGCUCCACCUGCAACACCAAGCUCACUCUCAAGUAAGUCUUAAUAUGUUCAUUGAUGCAAACCAUAAAAUCUAGUCACAUGCAACUCUUCCACCUCAUGUUUGUUGUGCCUCUUACUUUUCUUUAACACAUCUCAUGUGCCUU